AAAUAAGUCUUCAUAUGCUCUCACUAUUUGUAUGCAGGGUGGGGGCAAAUAUCAUGAAAAUUAUGCACAGACCUUUUUGGCUUUGCUCAUCAGCUUUUGUUAGUGUUGCUAUAUUUAAUGUGUGCCCCAGGACAAUUUUUCUUCUUCCAAUGUG